GUCCCUCUCCGCCGGCAGGGCUGACGGCUUUGGGCGGCCGCCGCCAGCAUGUGGCUCCCAGAUGUGGCCGAGGAGGCUCCAGCUGCAGUGUGUCAUCGUUUAAGCAGGAGUUUUUCGGCGCGUACAUACUGGCACCUUCCAGGACCACGCGGAUAUCCAGAGAGUGAUUUCCAAACCCCAAAAUCCUCCGGUGCCAGGAUGGAGUCAUUGAGAUCUCUGCACGCCUGGAUGCCUGUUUCCUUGAGGUUCUCAGCCUGCCGACUUUUAACCCCAGGUGUAACCACAGCGUGCCCGGGGGCAGGGCCGCCUGAGAACUCGGGUCUUUUGAGGCUCACCCAUGUCACCGUGUGGGAGGAGUUCGUUCCCUUGUUCCGCCGAGUGGGGUUCUCCGGUGGGGCUGUGCUGCAGACCGCUUGUGAAUUUACCCGGGGAAAUACAUCUGGGAUUUUUCCAGUUUUUAGUAACUAUGAAUAAAGCUGCUGUGAACAUC